rnacentral:lncRNA from 1 species
GGGAGAUAUCAGGAUCCUAGCAUUGUCAGCCUGCCACACCUGGACGCAAGCUAUAAGCAAGGAUUGGGAUUCAGCUCAGAUGUCCCACAGCCCCACUCUCAUCCUACUCUCAACUCUUUCCUGACUUCCUACAGUGGGUUUUAACGUCUCCUCAAAGUAGAAUGCAGAUGGAUUAUUGCUCAGUUUUGGCUAGGGAAGCUCCAAGUAGCCCCAGAAAGUCAAGGUGCCUGAUAAGUUACUGGAAGGCCACAGUGAACCUUCCAGUAGAAAGAGUUUCAAAUGAGCAUGAAUGCCUAAACUGCUGAUAUCCCUGUUGCGGCUCCAGAUCCUUCUGACUUAUCAACCCAGAGGUUGAGAACCACUGUCCUAGUCUGAAGGAACCUCUUGUGGAACAUUGGCAAGACCCUUACUGAGCAGAAGCCUAGCACCCUGAGCAUCCAGGAGAAGAAAAUAUUUGUGAUCUACGGGCUCAGUGAAGAAUUAUGGAGGACUUCAGGAUCUAGAAGGAAGCUUUGCAUGGAUUAGAUAAUUCAAUAAUAUUUAUCAAAUCAAAGUUGGGAGUCAAAAGAGAAUUUGGAAGCUUUGAUCAUCAGGAAAGAAGAUGGAGUUUAUUGACCCAAUGGAAGAGAAAAGCCACUUUUCUGUAAAGUGUAAGGCGUGGUAUCCAAGGCUACUCUCUGGAGACGACCAUAGGCUUCACCUGGGAGUUGUGAGAAAUGCAAACUCUCAACCCCAUCCCAGACCCUCUGAAUCAAAAGCUGCAUUUUAAAACAUGUCCUGUGCACAUUAAGCUUUAAGAGGCAUGGUUUUAGAGCACAGGCUUUGUAUCCCUGGAAUCAAAGUUCAAGUCUUUCACUUAUCAGCUAUACAAACUUAAGCAAGACAUGCGAAGUUUUUGAGACUCACUGUUUCUGUGAAACAGGCAUAUUCAUAUACACUACCUACUAGAGUUGUGAAGUUCAAAUGAACAAAAAAGAAUAUUGGACACAAGUCAUGGUGCCUGACUUUAUACAGUAAGAGUUUAAUUGUUUGAUGCUAUUAUUUUCUGAAAUUUCCAUCUCUUCAUUCAGGAAAAAAUGUUGGUUGGACAACGGACAAUCACCUCCUAUCAAAUCCAUAAUUUGAAGAUUGACUAAGUCACCUACUUUGCAUUCAGAUGUUGAUAAUUAUCAAGCCAGCCUAGGUUAAAACAAGUUUUUUACCUUUUACAAAUAUAUUUUUUUAAGAAUUGUGUAUCUUGGGGACAAAACAUUAUAAUAAGGUUAAUGAGAAAAGGAGCAACACAAAUCUGUUUUCAUUAAUCUUAACAGAGCUUUAAUCACAGCACAGGGGGAAACAGCUGCUCUGGAAGGGAGACUAGGAGCAGAUCAGUAGAAGCUGAUUAUCCAUUAAUGAGAGGGCUUUGGUGGGGAGCCCUGUGGAAAACCCACCAGACUCAAUCCUGCCAGCCAUUUGCUGAAGAGGUGGUGUAUAUGAAUCGCUUGUUUGAUGUAAAAAAUUCAAAACAGAUUCUUCUCAGCAGCCUGGGGACUGUCAUACAUCACUGAUCUCUUAUCUGUUUAUGUUAAGGAAAUAGCAUCCUUCAGUAAGUAAAUGUGUGUGGUAUUUAAUUAAACUCAUUGCUGAGCUCUGUGUGUGUGUGGCUAGUCCUCAUUUGGGGAUUAUCGGACUGUUGCAUUUUGCCUUUUUUCUCAUUUUUUCCUUCUUCUAGCAUUUCUUCCUCCAGCUCAGAAUUGCAGGAGCUUUAUGUUAUAUGGAGUAUCAUGGGAAGUACUUUAGCAUUUUUUUUAUUGCACACAUUAUUUAGAAAAGGAAACUGAGGCUCAGAGAGCUGAAGUCACUUGUCCAAUGUCCUCUAGCUUAAAGAAUUAUAUUAUUUAAACCUAGGUUCUGGGUGGUUUCAUAGCCUAAGCUUGUAACCACUUAUGCAAUAUGUGUAUAAAGUAAAAACUAACUAUGGUAUAUUGCGGUGGUUCUCAGAGUUAGUCCCCAGACCAGCAGCAUCAGCAUUGCCUGGGGACUUGUUAGAAAUACAAAUUGUUGGGCCCUGCCACAGAUCUAUCAGAAACUUAGGAAUGCAGCCUGGGAAGCCCUCUGAGUGAUUCAAAUGGAUGCUAAAGCUUGAGAGCCAUUGGUAUUUAGUUGGUAUGCUAGGUACUAAGAAUUUAGAAAGACAAAAAAAAAAUCGGUUCUUUGAUUUUGGGGAGUUCAGAGUCUAGUAGAGAAGACUAAAAUAUAAAGACAAUUAUAAUAAUAUUUUAUUAGUGUAUUAUAAGUGCAGUGAGAUAGUAUACACAAAAAAAUAGGAAAGUGCGGAUUAAGAUACUAACCUGGGUGGGAAGUGAAAGCUUAUUGGAAAAUGUGAUGCUUAAACUGAAUCUUAAAGCAUGAGAAGUCUCUGGCUGCAGUGACAGGAGAAAGUAUUUUAGGCAGGGGGACAGCAUAAACAGAAGAUGAAAUGAACAUGAAUACUGUCUAUGAAACAGCAGUCACUUUGGGGAUGCUGGAGUAGGAAGUAUAAUGAAGGAAGCAGUGAUGAGUUCAUGUGGCGGACAGUGAGCUGCCCUCUGUCACUCUGCAAUUUGACCCCCACCUGCUGAAGCUCAGGAGUUUGGCUUCUUGAAGCCCUGGCUUGGAUAUUUUACAGUCAUUUGUCAAUUUAUGGCAUUUACAACUGCCUUGUGGUUCCAGAUGAGGGGCACCACAUAUCACAAAGGCUUGUUCUUCAUGAUCUAUUGAGCACCCAGUAAUUCAUGCACGUUAUUUAUACCACUCACUCAUUUCUCCUUCUUUCUCAUGAAGUCGUCCAUGCCAUUAACAUUAGCUAGCAGACAUCAAGCUGCCUAGUGGAUAAAAUGUUGUUUGACAAGGGCUCAGUGGCUAGGGAUGUAACUCAUAGUUUUUAUCAUAAAUUUCAACUCAAUUAUUUGUUUUCCCAGGUAAUCUAUCAGUGAAUAAUAUACCCACAUCACAGGACUUUGGCCUGUGAAUUUGGUCUGUUUUCCAGACCAGUAUUUUAGCAUGGGCAUGGGUGACAUUUGAGCACUUAAAAUAAAAUAAUGCAGCUACAUUCUCUCUGGCAUGGUGGAAUGAACAUGGAAUUGGGAAUAAGAGAGACCAGGUUUCUAGCCCCAACUCUGUACUUUACAACUGUGUCCACUAAAUGACAUUGGAAGGCCUAUUUGUUAAUCCUGUGAAGCUUCAUUUUUUAAAAAUCUGCAUUGGCUCUCCAAAAUGUGCCUGGAAGUUGCUGCAAUUCUCAGAAUGUCUGAGAAGCUCCCCAACAGUCUUAGUCUGCAGCCAUGAGGCAAAUAAUUCUCAGCAAUUUUCUAGGAAGCUGCUUUGAUACUCACAUGUGCAUGUUCAUCUGGCAGCCACCACCUCCAGAGAAUAAAGCUUCCGAUUUACUUCCACUUUCCAGACUCCACAGAUGUUCCUCUCCUUGGCAAAAUGUAGCCCAGAUCUAAAUGGAAGGUGAUUCUGAGACAUGUAGUUGGCAACCUUAGCAGGACAUGGUGGUGCCACCCGGUUGAUAACAGACAUCUCAGCCCACUUUCCACUACACAGGAGCCAAAUGAUCUUCUUUAAAUCCCAAAACAGAGUAUUUCACAACCAGGCUUCAAAUGACUCAGUGGCUUCCCAUUUCUCUUAGAAUAAAACCCAAAUUCAUCCGGAUGGCCUGAAAAGCUUGUCCAGCCGAUCUCUUCAAUUUCAUCUAAUUCUAGCUUUCCCUUUCAUCAUUAUGUACAGCCAAACUGACUUUUAUUCCUUUUUUUUAACAUGCCAAACAUUUUACCACCUCAAAAUUCUUAUAGUUACUGUUCCUUCUGUUUAGAAUAUCUUCCACCUUGAUUUUUCUUAUCCUUUUAUCUCAACACUCUAAAGAGUCCUCCCCCAGUUUCUUUUUGUCGCCCCUUUUGUUUUCUUCAGUGGAUUUAUUGCAAUCUGCUCUUUUUGUGUGUUUAGUUAUUAUCUGUCACACUCACUGGAAUAUAAGCUCAGUGAAAGCUGGUACUAUAUUUAUCAAUUGCCCCCCUAGUUCUCUGUCUUGGCUUAGUUACCAAUUUUCCUCUUGGAACAUAGAUCAUCAUAGGCUGAAUUUGCUGCUUCAAAUAAUCAGAGGGCAUCAGUUUUUUUAGUGCUCAAGAUCCUAUAGUUAUUGUACCAGCCUUAAUGAAAGUACAAAGGAGAUAAGGGCAAGACGUGCUCUUUGCAAUGCUUAAACAGUUUUAGUAUAUCUCAAGCAAAGAAUCCUAAUAAAUCCAAAAUUCGACAGCUUUUUACUGUUGGUGUUCUACAACCUCUCUUUCCUCUCACUACCUGGAAUAGUCAGAAAUCUCAUGUUAAUUUAUGAACCCUGAUGUCAUCAUCAGGACUGGACUGUGGACUGAAAGAAGAUAAAUACCAAUAAUAAUUACCAAAUGUUGGAUAACUAUCAUAUGCCAACAAUAUGAUAAAUUAUUUAUGAACCUCACAAUAUUGCAUGGAAAAUAAUUAUCUCACUUUUCCAAAUUAUUUUUGUAAUUUUUCUAAUUUUUAAAAUAAUUUUCUAAUAAUUUUUAAAAAUUAUUUUUAUAAAAAUUAAGAACUUGACCAAAGUCACAGAGGUUAUUUGAGGUUAAACUAGGGUUUAAAUCUUGGUCAGUUUGGUUCUAACGCCCAAAUUUACUUCCCUGUUUCUGCCGUAUUCUAGGUCUCUUUUGAUUUUAUAAUACGUUGUGUUCGUGAUAGCAUUAUUUAUCUCACCCUGUAUUCACACUCUUUGUCGUUUUACUCUGGGUUAAGCUGUAAGACUGCUGUUUAGACUGGCUUUGGCCAAUAGAAUGAGGUAGGAGUUCUAGAUCUGAGCCUGGUCCUCACAUGAGUAUGCUCACCCUCUUAUUUGUCUGCCUAGACUAGUUCUUUGGUUUAGGAGAGAAUGAGAGACACAUCAAUGCAGAGCCAUCCUCAACUAGACCCAGCCAUGCUUCUCCAACCCCCCAAAAGGCUAUACUCAUGUGAGAGCUCAUCCAAGUACAGCAGUACAGCCCAGUUGAGCCCAAACAAGAUCAAUGAAGCCUCAGGAAACCAAACACAGUCAAUAAGCCCAACCAAGGUCAGCAGAACAGUCUAGCUGAGCCCAGCCUGGAUAAGCCAAUUCCUAGCUGACUCAUACGCUCAAAAAAAUGAUAAAUGAUUGCCAUUUUAACCAUGGUAUGCCGGGGUUGUUUCUUUCACAGUAAUAACAAAUUGAUACAGACACUAAUUAGCUCUGCAAAUGUGCUUAAAAAUAAUGCUUACAACCAUUUAAUAAGACUUUAUGUAUGAGACACAGUGCAGAACACUUUACAUUCAUUAUCCCUUUAGAUCUUAUUCAAAACCUCUCUGAGGGUUUCACAGAUGAGAAAAAUUAGAUGAAUAGAAAUGAAAUAACUUAGUCAAGUUUACACAGCUUGUUUAAGUGGCAGAGUUGGAAUUUAAACCUAAGUCUAUCUGGCUCUGAAGUUGUUCUUUUUUUGUUUUACCAGGUUGACUUUAUUCAUAAUCUAGACUUCACAUAGAAAAUAAUCAGCUGUGUGAAUAUGACUGAGUUCUCUGGGUCCAUUUUCUUCAACUACAAACUAGAGGGAACUAAAUAUCUUUUUUUCUUCUUACCUUCUUUGGUUCUAUGUUCCUACAUACAAAAGUUAUUUGAGGGCAGUUGGAGUUAAAGCAUGUAUGCAGUUUGAUGAUAAUGAUGAUGACGAUGACAAUGACAACAUAUAUCACAGAGAUGAAAGCAUGGACAUACUUUUUCCAAGAAAGAGAACUAAGACAAUUGUUGCAAGUGAGUGUAAAAAUUAACUCUGAAAACUUAUAUGUAAAACAGAGGAAUAAAUCUGGGCCACAAAAUCUUCCUUUCUAAUGCAAUAAACAACAACAACAACAGCAACAAAAAAGUGUCAGCCAAGAAUAUCAAAUUUAUCAAAUAAGCAAGAAACUAGAUAUAACGUGGGGCUUCAAAGAGCGGAUUUCAAGAUCUCAGCAGAGGCACAUGCCUUUGUGCACUCUUCUGCCCUCUCUCCUAUCUCUAUAUGCAACACAUAUACAAAGGACAUCUCUCUCUAUAUAUCUAUAUCUCAUACACAUAAACUAUCAUAUAUGUGCCAUUAUAUGUAUAUAUAUUCACAUACAUAUUCCAUAUAAAAUAUGGAUUCAAUAAUUAAGAGUUAAAAUAUGACUAAAUAAGAGAAUAAUAUGAAAAAGGAGAUAGAUGACAAAAUAAUACCAUUGUAGAACUAAUAUGUAAAUUAGGAACAACAAGAAACAGAUGAGACAUAUCAGGAAAUUGAAAUUAGUUACAAAAGAAAGCUUCGUGGUAUCAUAGGAAUUGUCAAUAAAGGGCUCUUAAAAAAUAAAAAGUUCUUAGAGACUUGACAAUACAUAGUGUGGUUACAUCGAACAGAACUGCAGCCACCCAGGCAUAAAGGGAAAUUUGCUUAUAAGGAGGAAAAUCAAAUUUACCUCAAUGUUCUCUGUAGCACCAAUUAUGCCAGAAGACAAUUGAGCCAAGUUUGCAUAAUUCUAAAAGAAAAUUAAACACAGUGUAAAAGUAUAUCAAAUACAAAGUCACAGGGAGAUAUUCUUGAACAAGAGCCCUUCUUAGCAAAAAUAAUUGAUGAAAUCCUGUAAACCAAAAAGGCAUUGUGAAGAGAACUAGCAAAGUAGUAAAGAAAUAUGUGUAAGCAGUUCAGAAAUACUUUUGCUGCCAGUGCAAUUCCUUUAUCUUUUGAUAAGUUAGAAAAAGUAUUUUAAAUAAUAUGAAAUAUAGUCCAUAACAGAAAUAUUUUAAGGCAUACAGAUUAUAAGAUAGUUAUAUAAUUUUUAUUCUCAUGGCUAUAUUAAGAUAGAUAUCUUGAAUACUAUGUAAUGUUAAUUAUUAAUAUUUAUAGAGGUGGUUUUAGAUGAUUUUAUUAACUUGUUAUUUGUUGCUAUUUCUUGAUUUUUGAAAAUAUGUACAUGUAAAUAUAUAGUUAAUUCAUCAUUAUUAUAUUUAAAGAGCAGAAGAAAAAAAUUAGAUCUUAAUGUGCACAUGUACCCUAAAACUUAAAGUAUAAUAAUAAAAAAAAAUUAGAUCUUAACUUACUAUAAGUAAGCUAUAAGUAAGAGAUGGUAGAGAUGGAGAAAUAGAAAAAGCAAUAAAGAAAACUUUCUGUUAGUGUGGCAUGGUAAAAGGAGCGUUCUCCUUCUAUGAGCAUCUGUUACCUAGUAGAUAUUAGGAAAAUCUGAUUUUCCUCCUUAUAAGCAACUUUCUCUUUAUACCUGGGUGCCUAGCAGGUCUGUUGCAGGUAACCACACUAUUGCCAAGUCUCGAAGAAUUUCUCUCUUAUUAUUGAUCAUCACUAUGAUAUCACAAAGCUUUCUUUUGUAACUAAUUUCAACUGGGUCUCUUGCUUUACUCUCUAUAACUUAGUUCCAUCAUCUACAUGGGUGGGGAUAUGUUGUUACCUCAGAGUUGGCUGUAGUAAUGAAAUGAAACAAUGUAUGUGAUAAGGUCAAAACAAUUUUAUGAAUAUGUUCACUUCUCUUCUCUCCUUCCCCUGACAAGCAGGAGUGUUCUGAUUUUCCAAGACAAAUCUUGGAUUAAAGGAUAGUUAAUGGAGAAUACAGUGAAGAGAAAAUGGAAAAUAGCAGGGAGUACAGACCGCCCUUGGUAGUGGAAUUGGUUACAUGUGUUUCAUUUGUUUAGGAAAAAAUGUGUCCAAAUUACUGUCUGCAGUUGUAACCUCCCAGUUCCCAUUCAUGUGGUUCUAGGGUGGGGCUGAAAUCUGGACUUGGGAGGUGGCACAUAUCUGCUUGUCCACGGUGAUUCAGAAAUAAACAAGUGGCAUAAGUCAGAUGGAACAGAGAGAUUCCAGGGUCUUUGAAGGGCCUGAGGAAGACGAUCUUUCUCUUCUGAAUCUGAAUCUAAGACACUGAAGCCUGGAACCACUCACCUCUGCAUCUUGCCAAUCAAAGAGAGAAGCCUCCUGAGAGUGGAACCAACACAAAGCCAAUAUCAGGAGGAAACAAUUCAACCCAUUGGAUCCAGCAGGGCUCAACUUUGUGUUACUGAGCUAAUUAAUCCCCUUUUAUUUGCAAGAGGAAGAGUUGGUUUAGCUAUUUGCAAUGCAAAGAGUCCUAAUUGAACAGAUGGGAUUGUUUCUCUUUGUCUUUACAUUUGUUUGUGUAUUUGUUUUUGUUUGCUUGUUUAGUACAGGUAUGGAAGUAACUACAGUGUGUGAGACCACAGAUGAGAUAAAAAGAAUAUUGAGAAAUAUUUCUGGACACUAUUGGUUUCCAGCGUGGAACCUGCCUGAUGAACUUCAAGAAAUAUAAGCAGAUGACUAACAUUAUUUUAAAAUUAGCUUUAGUGGUAUGAAUUUUACUUUUUUCUCCACUUUUUAGUACUCUAGGACUAAGAGCCAUUGUUUGUGAUUUUAUUGCUAAAACAUUGAAAACACCAUUUUAAGGGCUUUGCUCAUACCAUUCUCUUAUUUGGGAAAGUCAUAACUCUUUCCCUGCCUUCCCUGCUGCACAAGCUCCCUUUGUUCAGACUAUGCUCCUACCCAGGCUCCAGUACCACUCAGUUCCAGCAUUUCCCCAUCCAUUAAUGCCAACCUUUAGUUCACCAAAUGGGCUCCCCUGCAUGUCCGUGGCAACCACUUCUUACGUCUCUCAAUACAUUUGCCACUUGGUGAUACAAUAGUCUCCCACUAGGCUAUAAGCUCUUUGAAGACAGGAAUUCACCACAUCAUAUUUCUGUUUUUAGUACUUAUCACAGACCUGGCCUAUGGUAGGUGCAUGGGAAAUCUUCUUUUAACCUCCUUUCUCCCCUCAAAUUCACUCUCCCUAUUUACCUAUGCUAUCUUGUUUAUUGAUGGCAUCACCUCUUGCCCUGUGGUUCACACUCAGGUUUGGCUAAUGGGAAGCAGGAGAUAAAAGGGAGAGAAAGUGAGGUUGAGAUGUUUUUCUGUUGACUUUUUCUACCAACCCACCGUGGGUUGGUAGAAACUCUCUACUUGAGGCUAAUAAUGUGAUGUAUCUAUCGCCCACCAGGUUACUUAAGGGGUGUAUGUCUGCUGCCUAAACCCUAAAGGCUGGGUGCUGAACCAAGGCCCUGGUGCCCAGUGGAGGAGCAGGUAUCCCUGAGAACCCAAACAUUUGGAGAGUGUCUAAGAAUCUACCAAGAAAACUAGUCUCAUUGCUCAAACACAGUAGACAAAGAGCGAGAAAAGUAGCUUAAAAACAGUUUAGAGACAGAAGUAGUGCAGAUCUCUAGAGCUGUCCUGCUGUAGUCCAGGAGUACCCUGUAUGUAAGUUUUAAUAAACUCAUCUACUUGUCAAGCUGGACUUGUCUGAGUCAUUCUUAGGUCUCUCAGCACCUUCCCAGUUUGGGGGUGGGGGACAUUACAGUCCCAAGUCUUUCUUGUAACAAUUGGUGUCAUGAAUAGGAUCCAAGGAACCAAACGAUGAGUCAGGAAGGAGUGUGUGCAUGGGAAAUCCGGGGUGGUUUGCAACAUGCACCAAGGGUGGAGUUGCCUGACUGCUCAACCUCUGUGGGCCACCACGUGAGUACAAAGAUGCUCAGAAAACUUUGGCAGGGACUGAGCACAUACUGUAAGAAGCUAAGAUAUUAAAGUAUGGUAAGGACAGCAAAUAUGCUGUUGUUGCAAUAAAACUGGCUCUCAAAAAUUGUUACAGCAGGAAAGGGAGAAAGGGUAGAAACUCCUGCGAAAGUUCAAAGGCAUGCCAGGUUUUCUAGAACUCCAGCUGGUUAUAUAUUAUGGCCUAUUCUUGUGCAAAUUUAAAAACUGAUGGGGCCAGGCAAGGUGGCUCACUCCUGUAAUCCCAGCACUUUGGGAGGCCGAGGCAGGCGGAUCACUUGAGGUCAGGAGUUGAGAACAGCCUCACCAACAUGGUGAAACCCCAUCUCUACUAAGAAUACAAAAAUUAGCUGGGUGUGGUGGCACACGCCUAUAGUCCCAGCUACUAGGGGGGAGGCUGAGGCAUGAGAAAUGCUUGAACUCGGUAGGUGGAGGUUGCAGUGAGCUGAGAUUGCGCCACUGCACUCCAGCCUGGUGACAGAGCAAGACUCCAUUUCAAAAACAAACAAAUAAACAAACAAACAAAAACUGAUGGAAAAUUAUGACAAAGAAUUUCAGAGCUCAAAUGGUUAAUCUGCAGCUACAGCAUUAAGGAGAGUCUUUUAAAUGUCUCUAUUUCUCUUUCCUCUUCUACCUGCUUUGAAUCUGCUGUUACUAAGCUACCAAUGUUGAGAUAAAACUCACUAAUUGAAAGAUACUUGGAGAUUUUGUUUUUCUUAUAUUGUUCAACCAGUUGUAGCUAAAAUGUAAACAGUAAAAGCUCAUUUGAAACUGAAAAGGGGGUAAAAGAGGUUUUUUAAAAAUAAAACUGUUAUAGAAACUGUUUACCCAAAGUUUUGGUCCACAACCUUCCUUGGAUUGCCUAUUAGGGAAAAGUUUAGCCAUGUGAAUAGGUCCCAGUUUUGUCAAAUAUAAUUUGGAUCCAGCUGUCUGUUGUAAAAUAAUGAGAUUUGAUGCUGUCUCAUGGAUAAAGUUCUGAAGUAAAGCUAUUGGAUCUUUGUGUGUGCUUAUACAUGUUUAAAUGUGUUUAUAUACAUGUACAUGUACAUGUAGUGUUAUAUAUUGUGUCCAGCAUGCUACCAAAUUGGCUCAUAAGGAAAUGAGUACUUAUAAAUGAAAUAAGUCUGAAUGCUUUUUAGGUCCACAUGAAUUUAAUAAUUGUUAAUAAAUAAGCUAGCUUUGAAAUUAUUGGUAAGAUAAAAAGAAAAAUGUCUUCAAAAGUGUCAGACACAUUUUUGCCUGGGUUUACUCAUUAGAUAAGUUUUCUAUUUGCUUCUGCUAGAUAUUUUAAGGUGUCAGGGUUUGACAUAAAGUUGGUAAGACCCUAAACCCAGCCCUAGCCUGAAUGAUCUUUGUGUGAUUUUUUAAUAAGCAAGACUAAUUUGAUAUUGUUGGUUUAAUAAAAAUAGCUACAUUGUCUGAGUUAUUGGCAAAACACAUGUCCACGUGUUUAGCUUUAAGGUUCUUGCUUAGAUGAAUAUCUAAUAUUUACAGUCUAUAAAAAUAAUUAAUAAAA